rnacentral:rRNA from 1 species
AUACGGAGGGUGCAAGCGUUAUCCGGAUUUAUUGGGUUUAAAGGGUGCGCAGGCGGACCUGUCAGUCAGUGGUGAAAUCCCGGGGCUCAACCCCGGAACUGCCAUUGAUACUACAGGUCUUGAAUACGGUUGAAGUAGGCGGAAUGUAGCAUGUAGCGGUGAAAUGCAUAGAUAUGCUACAGAACACCGAUCGCGAAGGCAGCUUACUAAGCCGAUAUUGACGCUCAGGCACGAAAGCGUGGGUAGCGAACAGGAUUAGAAACCCCAGUAGUCC